rnacentral:rRNA from 1 species
UGCGUAGGCGGUUUUGUAAGUUUGGUGUGAAAUCUCCCGGCUCAACUGGGAGGGUGCGCCGAAAACUGCAAGGCUGGAGUGUGGGAGAGGUAGGCGGAAUUCCUGGUGUAGCGGUGAAAUGCGUAGAUAUCAGGAGGAACACCUGUGGUGUAGACGGCUUACUGGACCAUAACUGACGCUGAGGCACGAAAGCGUGGGGAGCAAAC